rnacentral:rRNA from 1 species
CUGUCCGCAGCUGGAGUAUUUUAUUACCCUUGUCUUUUGCGCACUUGUUGUUUCCUGGGCGGGUUCGCUCGCCACCAGGACCACCAAAUAAACCUUUUUUAUGCAGUUGCAAUCAGCGUCAGUACAAACAAUGUAAAUCAUUUACAACUUUCAACAACGGAUCUCUUGGUUCUGGCAUCGAUGAAGAACGCAGCGAAAUGCGAUACGUAGUGUGAAUUGCAGAAUUCAGUGAAUCAUCGAAUCUUUGAACGCACAUUGCGCCCUUUGGUAUUCCAAAGGGCAUGCCUGUUCGAGCGUCAUUUGUACCCUCAAGCUUUGCUUGGUGUUGGGCGUUUUUGUCUUUGGUCGCCCAAAGACUCGCCUUAAAGUGAUUGGCAGCCGGCCUUUCUGGUUUCGCAGCGCAGCACAUUUUUGCGCUUGCCAUCAGCAAAACGGCAAUCCAUCAAGCCUCCUUCUCACGUUUGACCUCGGAUCAGGUAGGGAUACCCGCUGAACUUAAGCAUAUCA